AUGGGCGUAUGGCUAACCGUGCUGCCACGGCGGCGAGCAGCGGCCGUGUGCAGGGCCGCCGGCGAGCCGCUGGCCGUGGAGGAGGUGGUCGUGGACCCGCCCAAGGCGCACGAGCUCCGGCUCAAGAUCGUCUGCACCUCGCUCUGCCACAGCGACGUCACCUUCUGGCGCAUGAAGGACUUCCCCGGCGUCUUCCCGAGGAUUUUUGGCCACGAAGCGUUCGGGGUGGUGGAGAGCGUGGGCGAGCACGUGGAGGGCUUCGCGGCGGGGGACGCGGUGGUGCCGACGUUCCUGGCGCAGUGCAGCGAGUGCGCGGACUGCAGGUCGCCGCGGAGCAACGUGUGCUCCAAGUACCGGUUCGCGGUGCGCCCGGGGAUGCCCCGCGACGACACCACCCGCUUCCACGACGGCGAUGGGAACCCCAUCCACCACCUGUUCGGCGUGUCCAGCUUCAGCGAGUACACCGUGGUGGACGUGACCCAGGUCGUCAAGGUCGCCCCCGCCGUGCCGCCGGCCACCGCCUGCCUCCUCAGCUGCGGCGCCACCACCGGGGUCGGAGCGGCAUGGAAGCUGGCCAAGGUCGAGCCGGGAUCUUCGGUUGCUAUCUUCGGCCUCGGCGCCGUGGGAUUGGCGGUGGCUGAAGGCGCCAGGAUUUGCGGGGCGUCGAAGAUCAUCGGCGUGGACUUGAACCCCGAUAAACAAGAGCUCGGAAAGAAGUUCGGCGUGACACAUUACAUCAACCCGAAAGAACUUGGGGAGAAAACUGUGAGCCAGGUGAUCAUCGAGAUGACCGACGGCGGCGCCGACUACUGCUUCGAGUGCAUCGGCCUGGCGGCGCUCAUGAACGAUGCCUUCCAGAGCUCCCGGCCGGUAUGCACACACACACACACACACACACACACACACACACACACACACACACACACACACAUUCGUCCCUCUGUCAUGCAAAGAUGGAUUUCACUUCCUGACAUGGCUCUGCCGACGCAGGGAUGGGGCAAGACGAUCAUCCUCGGGGUGGAGAUGCACGGCGCCCCUCUCACCAUAUCUUCGCUGGAGAUCCUCCACGGGAAGUGCGUCAUGGGGUCGCUCUUCGGAGGCGUGAAGCCCAAGCAGGACAUCCCGAUCCUCGCCGACAAGUACCUGAACAAGGUGACACUCAUCAGACUGUCGAUGUUCGAGAGGUUUUGA
rnacentral:rRNA from 1 species